rnacentral:misc_RNA from 1 species
AAGUCGUAACAAGGUUUCCGUAGGUGAACCUGCGGAAGGAUCAUUAACACGUAUCCAACGUAAAAACCGGACCUCUGACAAAUGAGAAGUUACAGUUAGGAUAUGAGCGGAGAUAGCUGCAUGGCAUCCCGAAGCAGUCGGUGUCUGAAAGUGUCAUUGAUUGUCUAAGGAUCUCGCUUCUACGAUUGCUUAGGGUCGCUCACCGACCAGCAGACAUGCAACCGGGUCCCCAUGCCCCUUUAAAACCCGAAUAACAUCUGUGAGCAAACGGACCGUCCAGUUUGCUAAAAAAACCUCGAACAACUGUUAACAAUGGAUAUCUUGGUUCUC